AGCCCCCUAGUGUAGCGGUAAUCAUGUAGGGCCCUGGACCCUGCGACUGCGGUUCGAAUCCGCAGGGGGCUACCA
rnacentral:tRNA from 1 species